AUUGAACGCUGGCGGCAGGCCUAACACAUGCAAGUCGAGCGAGCGGCGGACGGGUGAGGAAUGUAUGGGGACUGCCCGAUCGAGGGGGAUAACUACUGGAAACGGUAGCUAAUACCGCAUACUAUCGGAUAACCCAUAUGGGAUUAGCUAGUCGGUGAGGUAAUGGCUCACCUAGGCGACGAUCCCUAGCUGGUCUGUAGGGAUGAUCAGCCACACUGGGACUUAGACACGGCCCAGACGCCGACGGAGGCAGCAGUGGGGAAUCUUGCACAAUGGGCUCAAGCCUGAGGCAGCCAUGCCGCGUGUAUGAAGAAGGCCCUAGGGUUGUAAAGUACUUUCAGUCGGGAGGCGUUACCUACAGAAGAAGCACCGGCUAACUCCGUGCCAGCAGCCGCGGUAAUAC
rnacentral:rRNA from 1 species